ACGGGAGGCAGCAGUCGGGAAUAUUGCGCAAUGGAGGAAACUCUGACGCAGUGACGCCGCGUAUAGGAAGAAGGUUUUCGGAUUGUAAACUAUUUUAGACAGGGAAGAAAUUGACAGUACCUGUAGAAUAAGCUCCGGCUAACUACGUGCCAGCAGCCGCGGUAAUACGUAGGGAGCAAGCGUUAUCCGGAUUUAUUGGGUGUAAAGGGUGCGUAGACGGGAAAGCAAGUUAGUUGUGAAAGCCCUCGGCUUAACUGAGGAACUGCAACUAAAACUAUUUUUCUUGAGUGCAGGAGAGGAAAGCGGAAUUCCUAGUGUAGCGGUGAAAUGCGUAGAUAUUAGGAGGAACACCAGUGGCGAAGGCGGCUUUCUGGACUGUAACUGACGUUGAGGCACGAAAGUGUGGGGAGCAAACAGGAUUAGAUACCCUGGUA
rnacentral:rRNA from 1 species